AAUGAACGUUGGCGGCGUGGAUUAGGCAUGCAAGUCGUGCGGAAAGGCUCCUUCGGGAGUACUCGAGCGGCGAAAGGGAGAGUAACGCGUGGAUAUCUACCCCCUGGCCUGGGAUAGCGGCGGGAAACUGCCGGUAAUACCAGAUAAUGUCUGCGGACCAAAGGGGUGAUUCCGUCGGGGGAUGAGUUCGCGUCCUAUUAGCUAGUUGGUAGGGUAAUGGCCUACCAAGGCACAAAUGGGUACCGGGUGUGAGAGCAUGGCCCGGCUCACUGGGACUGAGACACUGCCCAGACACCUACGGGUGGCUGCAGUCGAGAAUCUUCGGCAAUGGGCGCAAGCCUGACCGAGCGACGCCGCGUGCGGGAUGAAGGCCUUCGGGUUGUAAACCGCUGUCAGAGGGGAGGAAAUGCGUAGGAGUUCUCUCUUACGUUUGACCUAUCCUCAGAGGAAGUACGGGCUAAGUUCGUGCCAGCAGCCGCCGUAAAAC
rnacentral:rRNA from 1 species